GCCUCAGUAGCUCAGACUGUGCGGGAAUUUUCCGCCAGGAGAAAUGGUAGAGCAGCUGCCUUGUAAGCAGCAGGCCGGGGGUUCAAAUCCCUCCUGAGGCU
rnacentral:tRNA from 1 species